GGUACAAAGGCUUCUUAAAAGACUGCCCCACUGACACCUGUCUGUUGAUGAGUUCAAGAAAAUAUAUGGAAAUUUUUUCCCAUAUGGUGAUGCAUCAAAGUUUGCGGAGCACGUGUUUCGGACCUUUGACGCAAAUGGAGACGGUACAAUAGACUUCAGGGAGUUCCUGUGUGCACUCUCCGUCACAUCCAGAGGCAAACUAGAACAGAAGUUAAGAUGGGCCUUCUCAAUGUAUGAUUUAGAUGGCAAUGGAUACAUCAGUCGGCAAGAGAUGCUGGAAAUUGUUACAGUAAGUU